AUUGAACGCUGGCGGCAGGCCUAACACAUGCAAGUCGGGCGAGCGGCGGACGGGUGAGUAAUGUAUGGGAAUCUAGCUUAUGGAGGGGGAUAACUACGGGAAACUGUAGCUAAUACCGCGUACCAUAGGAUGAGCCCAGGUGGGAUUAGGUAGUUGGUGAGGUAAAGGCUCACCAAGCCGACGAUCUCUAGCUGGUCUGAGAGGAUGACCAGCCACACUGGGACUGAGACACGGUCCAGACUCCUACGGGAGGCAGCAGUGGGGAAUAUUGCGCAAUGGGGGCAACCUGACGCAGCCAUGCCGCGUGAAUGAAGAAGGCCUUCGGGUUGUAAAGUUCUUUCGGUAGCGAGGCGUUAACUACAGAAGAAGCACCGGCUAACUCCGUGCCAGCAGCCGCGGUAAUAC
rnacentral:rRNA from 1 species